GCAGCUAGCUCUUCAGGUUGUUGCCAUUUGGGGUUUCAAACUGGAGGCUCCGCGUCGGCUGCUGGUCGUCUAUCUGCAUAUCUCGAAAGAGUAAACAUUCAAUCACAAAGUAACAAGUUGGAUGGCAGUCUGCUCGUUGCCGAGUGGUCGGCCAGAGGGACAAGUGGUGAAGUGGUCAGCCAGAGAGAAGAGUGGCCGGCCAGUGUUACUCCAUGCCUGGACCU